GAGAACUUUCCAGAGAUGGAUUGGUGCCUUCGGGAACUCUGAGACAGGUGCUGCAUGGCUGUCGUCAGCUCGUGUUGUGAAAUGUUGGGUUAAGUCCCGCAACGAGCGCAACCCUUAUCCUUUGUUGCCAGCGGUUAGGCCGGGAACUCAAAGGAGACUGCCAGUGAUAAACUGGAGGAAGGUGGGGAUGACGUCAAGUCAUCAUGGCCCUUACGAGUAGGGCUACACACGUGCUACAAUGGCGCAUACAAAGAGAAGCGACCUCGCGAGAGCAAGCGGACCUCAUAAAGUGCGUCGUAGUCCGGAUUGGAGUCUGCAACUCGACUCCAUGAAGUCGGAAUCGCUAGUAAUCGUGGAUCAGAAUGCCACGGUGAAUACGUUCCCGGGCCUUGUACACACCGCCCGUCACACCAUGGGAGUGGGUUGCAAAAGAAGUAGGUAGCUUAACCUUCGGGAGGGCGCUUACCACUUUGUGAUUCAUGACUGGGGUGAAGUCGUAACAAGGUAAGCGUAGUGCU
rnacentral:rRNA from 1 species